CUGCAUGAAAGUAAUGGCCUAAAUAUUCAAUAGGCCUUGUGGUCCAGUUCUCUCCAAAAACUCGCACGUUCUCUGCCCCUACUCCAAGUGGGUGCGACUCGGCGACCAUCGAGGCAGCUCUCCCUUGACCCUUCUGGGUCUCGGUCCGAAUCAGCCGGUUGAGCUGAGUCCGCUUCGCAUGCGUUUUGAGAGAUCGGCAAGCGCGACUACAUCCUGAAUGACGACGAUGGAGAUUGAUAUGGAAAGGAACAAUAAUCGGAAACGAUCCGCUUCUACCAACUUGCCCCAACAGUGGAGCCAGUGGCAGCUGCUUGAUUCCAUCCUUCCGACAGGGGGAUUUGCGCAUUCGCUUGGUCUAGAGGCGGCAAUACAAACCCGCGUGAUCAGUGGGCCUGAAGAUCUUCAUACCUUUGUAGUACAUGUGUUGGAGAACACUGGCAGUUUACUUCUUCCUUUUGUCUACACUGCAAGCAAAGAGCCAAGUGCAGAUACAUUGUGUAAGCUUGACAGAAUGCUUGAUGCGAUGCUAACUAAUGAAGUGGGCCGAAAAGCAUCUGUAGCUCAAGGUUCAGCACUUAUGAGGGUGGCUGCAUCUGUGUUUUCUGAAAUCCCAUUGCUUAAAAUGAUGAGAGAGAACUUUUUGAGUUCGGGAGUCGUUUCUUUUCACCAUGCUCCAAUCUUCGGGCUUGUAUGUGGACUUCUUGGGCUCGAGAGUGAGACAUGUCAGAGAGCCUUCAUGUUCAUUACUUUGAGAGAUAUUAUUUCUGCUGCAACUAGGCUGAACGUAAUUGGGCCGCUGGGAGCUGCUGUGUUGCAGCACCAGAUCGCUCAUGCUGCCGAAGCUAUUACAGAGAAAUGGAGUAACCGUGGUGUUGAAGAAGCAUGCCAAACAGUUCCUUUGCUUGACACUGUGCAGGGAUGCCAUGGCUACUUGUUUUCGAGGCUGUUCUGCUCCUAAUGACCAUUCGUCCAAGUCCAUAAUGAUCAAUUCCUUUUUUAUGCUCACCUGCUGAUAUUGGAUGUUGAAUUAGAAAUGCUUGCAUCUUCUUCAGCCAGGAGGAUCCUUGCUCAUGUUUGAUGUCAAAGUUGGCAGUGUGACAAUUUCUACGUCAUCUGAUAUGGUUUUACAUUGAAGAUACUGCAUCAGAGACCCAAUGUCCAAAAAGAACUUCCCCAAUCGAAGAUUUCCCGAUUGCUCUGUAUUCUCCUGUUCGGCGAGGUCGCUAUCGUUGUCAAAGGAAUUCUUAACAGAAAUCUUGUCUUCCCCGCUUGGAAAGUUUUCAGUGGCAGUGAUAACUGGUGACUGUCAAGGGGUGAGUGCUCCAUUUUUUGGUACUGGACUUGCAGUACUCGUUUUCUCUUGUGCAAUUCGCAAGUUACCAUUUCGUUGCCUGUCUCGGCAGGCCAUCGUCGCUCUCUAUGUUAACUUGGUUGCCAAGGCAUUGGAUGGCGAUCAUUGACAUUUGUUUCUGGCAUCAUGUGCAUUCGGGAGUGACCUCUGCGCGCCCAUGGGAGACAAUCCCGUUUGCCAUUUGCCUUGGAAUUUGAAAAGUUUGACACGGUCGAGUUGGGUCUGACAUGCCAUGCCUUUUCCUAUACUCUGUGGCUUGAUCGAACCAAGCCUCCGCAAUUUCAAAAUCUCCCUGUCGAACGGCCUGUUCUCCCCCGUCGGAGUAGGUGGGUCAAUUUCGCCCUGUUUCUUUGUCAGCUCACAUGGAAUGGGUAGCCUUGAAAUUUGUGUUUGGGCUAGGAUGAAGCUGCAAUGAGAAAUACCCAAAGAGAAUUUAUGAAGGUCCGCCGUGUUAAUUACUCCAUGAAUGAAUUUUCCAAGCCCGAUGAAACGCCUAUGACAAGUCGAAGUUGACGAGAUUUGCGUGGAUCUCACUUGAUCUAAUGGCCGUGAUCGACUAUGAUUGUCUCCUAUUUGUAGACCCGACAUAGGCUGUUAGCUCCCUUGAUUCAUAAUAAGAGGCGUGAUGGUAACACGAGAUAUUACUAUGAAAAAUAAAAGACCACUAUGAGGUAAAUAGUAUCUGCCCCCCUUAGGCAUUAGCCAAUAAUUACACAUUUACUAAGUCGAGAGUCCACAUUCGUAGGUUGGUUGACGUGUAAUAAAUUUAAACUUGUUUUUCUCUAA